AACCAAGAAAUUAAAUUAUAUCAAAACGGUAAAAAUAUAGUUAAGUAUACAUCAUUAGCCGCUUCUUAACUAUUUAUAAAAAAGUAAAAUUUGAAUAUAAAUAAAUAAUCCAAUAAAAGCAAUUUAAAUACUGAAUCUAUGACAACCUCGAGGGAAACUGGGAUUAGAUACCCCAUUAUUCUUGGCCAUAAAUAAACUACAUUUACCCGGGUACUACGAAUUUUACAAUUUAAAACUCAAAGAGCUUGGCGGUGUUUUAGACCUCUCAGGGGAACCUGUCUCAUAAUCGACAAUCCACGCUAUACCUUACCUUUAUUUGCAAUUCAACCUGUAUACCGUUGUCGUCAGGUAACUUUUUAGAAAUUAGAAGUUAGCUACAAGCUUUAAGCUAUAACGUCAAAUCAAGGUGCAGCCAAUAUAAAGGCGAAGAUGGGUUACAAUUAUACAAGUAUAAUACACAUAGUUAAAAUAACAAUUAACUACUAAGGAGGACUUGAAAGUAAACUAAAUUAUAUAAACAACUUGAAUUAGGCUCUGAAAUGUGU
rnacentral:rRNA from 1 species